GGAAGACAUGAUGAGCACACGAUGGAUGCCCUGGCGCUGCGUGCCGAGGAAGGACGGGGCACCGCUCCGAUAAGCUUGGGGGAGCGCCGCAGGCUGGGAUCCCGAGAUCUCC
rnacentral:rRNA from 1 species